CAGCAUUAGGAUUUUAAACCCUAAACUGAAUUUUUCCAUUCAGCCAGCAUUAGGGUUUUAAAACCCUAAACUGAGCUUUUCCAUGCAAUCAGCAUUAGGGUUUUAAACCCUAAACUGAAUUUUCCUUUUAGUCAGCAUUAGGGUUUUAAACCCUGAACUGAAUUUUCAUUUUAAUCAGCAUUAGGGUUUUAAACCCUAAACUGAACUUUUUCCCAUUCAGCCAGCAUUAGAGUUUUAAACCCUAAACUGAGCUUUUCCAUGCAAUCAGCAUUAGGGUUUUAAAUCCUAAACUGAAUUUUUCCUUUUUAUCAGCAUUAGGGUUUUAAAUCCUAAACUGAACUUUUUCCCAUUCAGCCAGCAUUAGGGUUUUAAACCCUAAAUUGAGCUUUUCCAUGCAAUCAGCAUUAGGGUUUUAAAUCCUAAACUGAAUUUUCCUUUUAAUCAGCAUUAGGGUUUUAAACCCUAAACUGAACUUUUUCCCAUUCAGCCAGCAUUAGGGUUUUAAACCCUAAACU
rnacentral:lncRNA from 1 species